rnacentral:rRNA from 1 species
AUACGGAGGGUGCAAGCGUUGAUCGGAAUUACUGGGCGUAAAGCGCGCGUAGGCGGUUAUUUAAGUCAGAUGUGAAAUCCCUGGGCUCAACCUAGGAACUGCAUCUGAUACUGGGUAACUAGAGUUUUGGAGAGGUAAGUGGAAUUUCCGGUGUAGCGGUGAAAUGCAUAGAGAUCGGAAGGAACACCAGUGGCGAAGGCGACUUACUGGCCAAAAACUGACGCUGAGGUGCGAAAGCGUGGGUAGCAAACAGGAUUAGAAACCCUAGUAGUCC